rnacentral:lncRNA from 1 species
AAGUGAGCUUCGCGCAGCUCCCUUUUACCUUCGAUUUUGACUGUUGAGGAACAAGGACGUGAUAAGGCCGACGUAGAUAAGCGGCACCGUCCGGGGAGGCGCGUGUAAGACUCCUGUACAUAAGAGAGCAGCAUGUCCGUCUCUACCCUUUCACCUCAUGCCUUGUCAGACGGACGUAGAUAAGCCGCCGGCGUUCCUGGCCCAUCAUGGGAUCCUCACAGUCUGUGGUCACGGCCUUGGAAACAGUGUUAAAGCAGAGGAACAUCAAAAUUGGAGGAGGAACACUUAAAAACUUUGUGAAGGAGGUGGAGAGGGUGGCGCCUUGGUUUGCCUGUUCAGGCUCGUUUACGAUUGCCUCAUGGAACAAACUUGGAAAAGACCUUGACAGAAAAUUGGCGGAAGAGGAUCUGCGCCUAGGGACCAAAGCUAUAUGGAAGCUGGUUAAGAAUUGUUUAAAGGAUGAAACGUGUAAGGCAGCAGUAGUAGAAGGACAGGCCACU